rnacentral:rRNA from 1 species
GAUGGGGUAACGAAGGAGUGAAAGUUCUCCGUACUGACGGAAUAGUACGGUAAAGGGUGUAGAUUAAGUUGUAACAGGCAAAUCCGUUAUAAUUCUCGAACCCAAUAGUACCGCGAGUCCUCGGACAAGUGGAUAUGAACCUAAACAGACUUCCAAGAAAAACCUCUAAGCUUCAGAUAGAUGCUGCCCGUACCGUAAACCGACACAGGUAGACGAGGAGAGAAUCCUAAGGUGCUCGAGUGAAUCAUGGCUAAGGAACUCGGCAAAUUAACCCUGUAACUUCGGGAGAGAGGGUGCCCGUCUUUGACGGGCCGCAGUAAAAUGGCCCAGGCGACUGUUUAUCAAAAACACAUGGCUUUGCUAAAUCGAAAGAUGACGUAUAAGGCCUGACACCUGCCCGGUGCUGGAAGGUUAAGAGGAGAUGUUAGUCGCAAGGCAAAGCAUUGAAUUGAAGCCCCAGUAAACGGCGGCCGUAACAAUAACGGUCCUAAGGUAGCGAAAUUCCUUGUCGGGUAAGUUCCGACCUGCACGAAUGGUGUAACGAUCUGGGCACUGUCUCAGCCAUGAGCUCGGUGAAAUUGUAGUAUCGGUGAAGAUGCCGAUUACCCGCAACGGGACGGAAAGACCCCGUGCACCUUCACUAUAGCUUAACAUUGACUUUGGAUAAAUGAUGUGUAGGAUAGGUGGGAGACUUUGAAGCAGCUUCGCUAGGAGUUGUGGAGUCUACCUUGAAAUACCACCCUUUAUUUAUUUGGAGUCUAGCCCCGCUUUGCGGGGGACAUUGUUUGGUGGGUAGUUUGACUGGGGUGGUCGCCUCCAAAAUUGUAUCGGAGGCUUUCAAAGGUACCCUCAGCACGCUUGGUAACCGUGCGUAGAGUGCAAUAGCAAAAGGGUGCUUAACUGUGAGACCUACAAGUCGAGCAGAAUCGAAAGAUGGAUAUAGUGAUCCGGUGGUUCCGCAUGGAAGGGCCAUCGCUCAUAGGAUAAAAGGUACGCCGGGAUAACAGGCUGAUCACCCCCAAGAGCUCAUAUCGACGGGGUGGUUUGGCACCUCGAUGUCGGCUCGUCACAUCCUGGGGCUGGAGAAGGUCCCAAGGGUUAGGCUGUUCGCCUAUUAAAGUGGCACGCGAGCUGGGUUCAGAACGUCGUGAGACAGUUCGGUCCCUAUCUGUUGUGGGCGUUAGAAGUUUGAGAGGACCUAUCUCUAGUACGAGAGGACCGAGAUGGACAAACCACUGGUAUACCUGUUGUGACGCCAGUUGCAGUGCAGGGUAGCUAAGUUUGGAUGAGAUAAGCGCUGAAAGCAUCUAAGUGCGAAACUUACCUCAAGAUUAGACUUCUUCUAAGGGUCGUCAUAGAUGAUGACGUUGAUAGGUUGUAAGUGUAAAGACAGCAAUGUCAAAGCUGAGCAAUACUAAUUACCG